AUGCUAACCAAGGGUACAACCCUUGUCCAGUGUAUCAAAACAAAGAAGGUCCAAAAGAGGUUGGGAGGGGAAACAACCCAGUUCUGGGGAGGCUUCGGCGCCUAUGGGCUUUAGCGGCCUAGUCUGCAACGUGAUUGGCCUCUCUCCUACAAUGCACGAUUCAGAGGUUAGGGAAACAGGGGAGCAACGCCGCACACUCUGAGAACAGCGCUCGGAUCUCCUACGGUGUAGAGCAAGGGUGAUGCACGGCUUCUACGAGUACCAGAGCCGAAGAGGCUGUGAUACUGCUGGUGAAUUCAUCAACAAGCUAGCCGGAGUGGUCACGAUAGACAGACGCCACGGAACCCUCAUUUGUUGCAGUGGGAAAGGCUCCAUCGAUGUUGAUCUUCAAAGUGCCGGGCUUCAGUGGGCACCACACCCGAUCUGGAUUUGAGGUGCGCAGUUGAGAUCCCGAUAGUACUCCAUUACAGCAACGAGCAACAUGGGCGUUCGCAGAAGCCACCGCAACCACCUGUGCUGGAUCAGGGAGAAUUCGGCGGAAAACAAAGUUAUUUCUGGUUUUCCAGAUCUGCCACAAGAUAUGCGCAAGAGUCUCCAGAUCAGAAAUGCCACAUGGGACCCAAUAUGCGUAAAAUUGCCUCGUGCUGGACCCUGCACAGUCUACGACGGGCCUCACGUCUGACUUUCUCAAAGACUGCGAACAAGGUUUCGACAUUCUUUUUCGUUUCCCUCUCACAUCUGGUCCAUUUAUUCUGUCUCUAUUUUCUUUCUCUCUUUUUUCCUUUGUCCUCUUCUUGAGAUAUCUAAAUCUAAACCUCAAAACAAAAAUUCCAUGGA